GCCCUGGCUGUCCUGGAGCUCACUCUGUAGACCAGGCUGGCUUUGAACUCAGAAAUCCUCCUGCCUCUGCCUCCCAAGUGCUGGGAUUAAAGGCGUGUGCCACCACUGCCCAGGUAGCAGUCAGUAUUCUUAACCGCUGAGCCAUUUCUCCAGCCCAUAAAGUAGUUUUUAAGACAGUAACUUCAUUGCCCCAUUGCAUGCCAGGAUUUGAUACAUGCAGCAGGGUGGGGUGGAGUGUGCUUCACAUGAACACCAGAGGGCUAAAAUAUUAGCUCAGCAAACAGAAAGCUGGAGGGAAGGAGCUAUUUUGGUGUAUGUAUGGAGUUACAGAAGAUUAAGAGCCUCCAUGGGGGUGCUGGGAAUCAAGCCCAGGUCUUCUGCAAGAGCAGCUGUUAAGUUCUGAGUCAUUUCACCAGCUCAGGUCUUUAUUGACUUUGUUUUUUGACAAUUCAUGAUUAUUCUCUCCCAUCUCUGUCAACCCAGCUCUUCCUUAUCCAUUCCUUCAUCGGAUUCAUAACUUUGUGACCGUUUAGUUUGACAGGGGCUAUAUUUUGACUAUUGGGUUGGAUCUAUGCACUGGAGCCUGGUGAGGCCGCCUGUGGGAACACAAAGGCAGCAGCCCCCAUUCUUGAAUAUGUCAGUGGCAAAUAGGCCAAAAGUGAGGGUAGGAACCCGAGAGUCCCUACAUCACCCAUGCCUCACUGUGGAUCUGCUCAUUGUUGGACAGACCUCAUGCAGGCAUCCAUAGCUGCUGUCAGUUGUGAUUACAACAGCUGUGUCUGGACACACAUACACACAAAUCCUAAGCCUUAGAGGGCAGUAUACCAGACUCCCUAUUACAGUGCUUCAGUAAACUCUAUUUUCUCCUACACCAGAAGGGCCUUUCUUCCCCUUGAGGUCUAGAAAGGGUUAAAGUAAGGUGGAUGCUCAGGCCCACGUGCUGUGUCAGCUGAGAGACACUCCCAUGCCACCUGCCUUGCUAUUACAAUAUUAGACCACUAAAGUUCCAUUCUAGUGAUCUUUUCUUACCUUCAUCUAGUUGUGCAGCUGACCUGGUAACAGGAUGAAAGAAGCAGCAAGCAGCAGUGACACCCCAGGAAUUAGCCCGCCGCCACCAGCUGCUUGACAGCUGAAGCAGUAGCACCUGCAAUGUUAGGAGUGGCCAGCGGGGUGGAGUGGGGGUAGUGAGAGAGAAAGGUUGAGAAUGAAGAAGGAAAGGUUGUCAAUAGCCACAGGAAGUGCCAGCUCUGGUCACCAGAAGAGUUCCACAGCAUUAUCAAGCCUUCAGGGCCAACAGGUGAAACACUGGGUGCUGUGAAAGGCUGAGGGGACACCACGCCCUCAGCCCACGUAGAGCUGUAGAACUCAAGUGGUCUAAAGGUUCCUAAAAUCUGAGGCCUACAAGGAGCCUGAGCCUGGAAGGUGCCACCCACUGUGCCUCCCACCCCCUGCUGCCCAGGCUUCUCCUCAGCUACUUAAAAUUCCCAUACAGUGCAGUGCAGAAGGACCCUCUAGCCAGCUAGUCAAAGGUGGUAUAGGUGAUCCUCCAGCAACAAUCCUGUAUGUCAAAGCUGGGCUUCUUCAUACUCUACUAACCAAAACUAGCGUCAAAUGCAAGGAGACAAACCCAGAAGAUAAAGGAGCUUUCAUAUCAACCAGAUUGUCUACCAUUGAGAUCCUAACAGAUACAAGAUGAUCCGCAAGAUGAUCCGCUGGUCUCUGCUUAUGUCUUGCAGAUGUUCACUGGAAUCUUACUGAACGCCUUAGACCAGAGGUUCUCAACAUGUGGGUCAUGAUCCACUCCAGGGUCACCUAAGCCACUGGAAAACAUGAGUCACAAGAAUACCAAAAUUACAGUUAUGAAGUAGCAACAAAAGUAAUUUUAUGGUUUGGGGGUCACCACAACACGAGGAGCUGCAUUAAAGGGCAGCAGCAUUGGGAAGGCUGAGAACCAUUGCCUUAGACUAAGACUGACACUUGCCUGGCUGAAUCUUUACAAGGGCCAGAAAGGUUUUGUUGGGUAGCAAUCUCCUCUGAGAUAAAACCUUCCAACUUUGAGGGAAGCUCCUUAAGACACCGGGGGAGCAUUCUGUCCUUCAGGGAAGCGACUUUAACUCAGAAAACAGUAACAACAGUAACUGCAGGAAGUCCCUGAAAUCCACCAGAUUCACCAGGCUCCUCUCCCCCCUGAGGACCUCUAAGAAAUAAGUUCUAUAGAGAAAAGUUCUCAGGCCAGUGGAGCUGCUUGGAAGACAUGUCUCCACCGCUGCCUGCAAGGUGGCGCUCCAGUGGCUUCUCGUCACGUUCCUGGAGUCGGGCCAAUUGACAGAGCAUCAUGGAUUGGUCCAGACUGAGCUGCUAUUGCUGAUUCGAGAUUGGUGUUUGAGAGUGGAUAGAGUGACCACUGCUGAUUUGUGUGACAUGAACUGCUGAUAUCCUCCUUUGUUUAAAAAAAUUAUUUUCUGUAGAUGAGUACACUGUAGCUGUACAGAUGCUUAUGAGCCUUCAUGUGGUGGUUGGGAAUUGAAUGUUAGUUGACCUCGCUCCGGUCAACUCUGCUCACUCAGGCCCAAAGAUGUAUUUAUUAUUAUAUAUAAGUACACUGUAGCUGUCUUCAGACGCACAAAAAGAGGGCAUCAGAUCUCAUUACAGAUUGUUGCUGGGAUUUGAACUCAGGACGUUUGAAAGAGCAUUCAGUGCUCUUACCCACUGAGCCAUCUCGCCAGCCCUGCUGAUAUAUUCCUGACAACACAGAUUGGAUUCAUCCCCAAAGAACGACUUCUAAGUAGGUCCACAUCCCCUUGUCCUAUUUCCUCCCCUACCUUUAGAUGGUGGGCUCAAAGAAGAAUCAAAGCAUUUGAGAACCCUUAUUAAAAGUGUGUGUGUGUGUGUGUGUGUGUGUGUGUGUGUGUGUGUGUGUGUGUGUGUGUUUUAAAUCUAAGUCUACAGAGGUGUGAGCAAACUCCCUAUCUGAGGGCAGCACCAACCCAUGGGCGGGGAUCUUGAGUUGAAUAAGAAAGAGAGAUGGAGUGGAGCGCACCAGUUUGCUCCUCACGCCUUCCUGGCAGCAGAUGCGCUGUUGCCAGCUGCCCCUCUCUCCUCCCACCAGGAGGGACUACAUCCCUGCAAACCACGGGCUAAAAUCGCAUCACUUUUGUAUCCCGUCACAGCGACAAGUAACGAGAUGUUCCAGUCCCAGAAGCUCUUUACAACAAGCACCGUGGUCAUGAAAACUGAACUAUUUGCUUUUGUCCCAGGGACCCCCCAAUGCUGCUUGCUCACAAGGAUACUGCUCCCUGUUACUGUCUGUGAUAAACACCGUGACCAAAAGCAGCAGCUUGGUGGUGAUUUGAAUGGCAAUGGCCUCCAAAGGCUCAUAUGUUGGAAUACUUGAUGGAACUGUUUGGGAAGGAUUAGGAGCUGUGGCCUUGUUGGAAAAGUUUUCUUCAGAAGAAUCGUCCAAGUCCUGGGAGGUCUGAAAUUGAUCCUGGUGCCAGGAAUCUGGUUCCCAAACAGUACACUAUUGCUGUCACACCAGAAGAAAUCAUCGGAUCCUGUUACACAUGGUUGUGAACCACCAUAUGGUCUUGUGAGUGCCUGACUCGCC